rnacentral:rRNA from 1 species
UACGUAGGGUGCGAGCGUUACUCGGAAUUACUGGGCGUAAAGCGCACGUAGGCGGCUUGGUAUGUCGGGUGUGAAAUCCCCGGGCUCAACCUGGGAACUGCAUCCGAAACUGCCUUGCUAGAGUAUGGGAGAGGGAAGUGGAAUUUCCGGUGUAGCGGUGAAAUGCGUAGAUAUCGGAAGGAACAUCAGUGGCGAAGGCGACUUCCUGGACCAAUACUGACGCUCAGGUGCGAAAGCGUGGGGAGCAAAAGGG